rnacentral:rRNA from 1 species
AGUCGAACGGAGCUUAGAGAGCUUGCUUUUUAAGCUUAGUGGCGAACGGGUGAGUAACGCGUGAGUAACCUGCCCUAGAGUGGGGGACAACAGUUGGAAACGACUGCUAAUACCGCAUAAGCCCACGGUACCGCAUGGUACUGAGGGAAAAGGAUUUAUUCGCUUUAGGAUGGACUCGCGUCCAAUUAGCUAGUUGGUGAGGUAACGGCCCACCAAGGCGACGAUUGGUAGCCGGACUGAGAGGUUGAACGGCCACAUUGGGACUGAGACACGGCCCAGACUCCUACGGGAGGCAGCAGUGGGGGAUAUUGCACAAUGGGGGAAACCCUGAUGCAGCGACGCCGCGUGGAGGAAGAAGGUUUUCGGAUUGUAAACUCCUGUCGUUAGGGACGAUAAUGACGGUACCUAACAAGAAAGCACAGGCUAACUACGUGCCAGCAGCCGCGGUAAAACGUAGGGUGCAAGCGUUGUCCGGAAUUACUGGGUGUAAAGGGAGCGCAGGCGGGAAGACAAGUUGGAAGUGAAAACCAUGGGCUCAACCCAUGAAUUGCUUUCAAAACUGUUUUUCUUGAGUAGUGCAGAGGUAGAUGGAAUUCCCGGUGUAGCGGUGGAAUGCGUAGAUAUCAGGAGGAACACCAGUGGCGAAGGCGGUCUACUGGGCACCAACUGACGCUGAGGCUCGAAAGCAUGGGUAGCAAACAGGAUUAGAUACCCUGGUAGUCCAUGCCGUAAACGAUGAUUACUAGGUGUUGGGGGAUUGACCCCCUCAGUGCCGCAGUUAACACAAUAAGUAAUCCACCUGGGGAGUACGACCGCAAGGUUGAAACUC